UAGGGAAGGGGAAUGGGAGCGACCUGAAGGUGAAGAUCAUAGUGAAGCGAGAGCUCGUCUUCCAGUGUGUUUGUGCCAAACAGCAGAACUGUGCGGUGUUUCCUGACACCGGUAACAAUGCGGUGGUCAUCAGUUUACAGGAAGGGCCUGUUGUGACUGGAGAUGUGAAGGUCAUGUUUGAGUCCAGUGCUGGUUUGCCAAAAGGUUACGAGGACUGUCCUUUCUAUUUCUGGUUUAACACCUCUUUUGUUGAGAACAACAGCUUGUAUCUCUCGAGGGAGGAGCUGGACAAUCCACACAAAUCAAAGACCUGGGACAUCUAUAAGGAGGACUUCGGAGUGACGUUGUAUUUCACAGACCCUUGAGAAGAAAAUUCUCUGACAGUGGAUAUUGUUUACUAUUCUUGUCCUUUCGUAUAAGUAGAUAUAUCUCUUGAGGUAUACUUACAAUAAGCUGCAAACUGAAGCCAAUGUAAACACUCCACAUAAAUCUACAGAUAUAUAAGAUUUGAAUGUGAUGUGUAAAAAAUGUCAUUGCAUUUCCAUGGUUGUUUUUGUGUGCAAAAAAUGUAUGGGAAAUUCUUUGUUUUUGUACUGUGGUUCUGUUUAUCUUUGGCAGCAG